AUCAGCAUUAGGGUUUUAAACCCUAAACUGAACUUUUCCUUUCGUCAGCAUUAGGGUUUUAAACCCUAACUGAACUUUUUUCCAUUUAGUCAGCAUUAGGGUUUUAAACCCUAAAUUGAACUUUUCCUUGCAAUCAGCAUUAGGGUUUUAAACCCUAAACUGAACUUUUUCUUUAGUCAGCAUUAGGGUUUUAAACCCUAACUGAACUUUUUUCCAUUUAGUCAGCAUUAGGGUUUUAAACCCUAAACUGAACUUUUCCUUGCAAUCAGCAUUAGGGUUUUAAACCCUAAACUGAACUUUUCCUCGCAAUCAGCAUUAGGGUUUUAAACCCUAAACUGAACUUUUUUCCAUUCAGCCAGCAUUAGGGUUUUAAACCCUAAACUGAGCUUUUCCUUGCAAUCAGCAUUAGGGUUUUAAACCCUAAACUGAAUUUUUCCUUUAGUCAGCAUUAGGGUUUUAAACCCUAACUGAACUUUUUCCAUUCAACCAGCAUUAGGGUUUUAAACCCUAAACUGAGCUUUUCCAUGCAAUCAGCAUUAGGGUUUUAAACCCUAAACUGAACUUUUCCUUGCAAUCAGCAUUAGGGU
rnacentral:lncRNA from 1 species